AUUAGCUAGUUGGUGAGGUAACGGCUCACCAAGGCUCCGAUCGGUAUCCGGCCUGAGAGGGCGAACGGACACACUGAGACUGAGACACGGCCCAGACUCCUACGGGAGGCAGCAGUGGGGAAUUGUUCGCAAUGGGCGCAAGCCUGACGACGCAACGCCGCGUGGAGGAUGAAGACUUUCGGGUCGUAAACGGCUAACUCCGUGCCAGCAGCCGCGGUAAUACGGGGGGGGCAAGCGUUGUUCGGAAUUACUGGGCGUAAAGGGCUCGUAGGCGGCCAACUAAGUCAGACGUGAAAUCCCUCAGCUUAACUGGGGAACUGCGUCUGAUACUGGAUGGCUUGGAUUCGGGAGAGGGAUGCGGAAUUCCAGGUGUAGCGGUGAAAUGCGUAGAUAUCUGGAGGAACACCGGUGGCGAAGGCGGCAUCCUGGACCGAGAUUGACGCUGAGGAGCGAAAGCUAGGGGAGCAAACGGGAUUAGAUACCCCGGUAGUCCUAGCCCUAAACGAUGAAUGCUUGGUGUGGCGGGUAUCGAUCCCUGCCGUGCCGAAGCUAACGCAUUAAGCAUUCCGCCUGGGGAGUACGGUCGCAAG
rnacentral:rRNA from 1 species